rnacentral:rRNA from 1 species
ACUCCUACGGGAGGCAGCAGUAGGGAAUCUUCCACAAUGGGCGAAAGCCUGAUGGAGCAAUGCCGCGUGAGUGAAGAAGGUUUUCGGAUCGUAAAACUCUGUUGUUGAAGAAGAACAUGCGUGAGAGUAACUGUUCACGUACUGACGGUAUUCAACCAGAAAGCCACGGCUAACUACGUGCCAGCAGCCGCGGUAAUACGUAGGUGGCAAGCGUUGUCCGGAUUUAUUGGGCGUAAAGAGAAUGUAGGCGGUUUAUUAAGUUUGAAGUGAAAGCCCUCGGCUCAACCGAGGAAGUGCUUCGAAAACUGGUAAACUUGAGUGCAGAAGAGGAAAGUGGAACUCCAUGUGUAGCGGUGGAAUGCGUAGAUAUAUGGAAGAACACCAGUGGCGAAGGCGGCUUUCUGGUCUGUAACUGACGCUGAGAUUCGAAAGCAUGGGUAGCAAACAGGAUUAGAUACCCUGGUAGGAUAGCG